GACGAACGCUGGCGGCGUGCUUAACACAUGCAAGUCGAACGCUGAAGCUCAGCUUUUGUUGGGUGGAUGAGUGGCGAACGGGUGAGUAACACGUGAGUAACCUGCCUCCUUCUUUGGGAUAACGCCCGGAAACGGGUGCUAAUACUGGAUAUUCACUGGUCUUCGCAUGGGGGUUGGUGGAAAGGGUUUUUCUGGUGGGGGAUGGGCUCGCGGCCUAUCAGCUUGUUGGUGGGGUGAUGGCCUACCAAGGCUUUGACGGGUAGCCGGCCUGAGAGGGUGACCGGUCACAUUGGGACUGAGAUACGGCCCAGACUCCUACGGGAGACAGCAGUGGGGAAUAUUGCACAAUGGGCGCAAGCCUGAUGCAGCGACGCCGCGUGAGGGAUGGAGGCCUUCGGGUUGUGAACCUCUUUCGCUCAUGGUCAAGCCGCAACAAUGGUUGUGGUGAGGGUAGUGGGUAAAGAAGCGCCGGCUAACUACGUG
rnacentral:rRNA from 1 species